rnacentral:rRNA from 1 species
CAAUAGCGUAUAUUAAAGUUGUUGCGGUUAAAAAGCUCGUAGUUGGAUUUCUGCUGAGAACGACCGGUCCGCCCUUUGGGUGUGUAUCUGGCUCUUUCUUGGCAUCUUCUUGGUGAACGUUGCUGCACUUGACUGUGUGGAGCGCUACCCAGGACUUUUACUUUGAGGAAAAUAGAGUGUUCACGGCAGGCAAUCGCCCUGAAUAUAUUAGCAUGGAAUAAUAAAAUAGGAUCUUGGUUCUAUUUUGUUGGUUUCUAGAACGAAGAUAAUGAUUAAUAGGGACAAUUGGGGGCAUUCGUAUUAACGCGUCAGAGGUGGAAUUCUUGGAUUGCGUUACGACGAACUACUGCGAAAGCAUUUGCCAAGGAUGUUUNCAUUG